rnacentral:rRNA from 1 species
CUUAGUGGCGAACGGGUGAGUAACACGUAGGGAACCUGCCCAUGUACCCGGGAUAACAGAUGGAAACGUCUGCUAAAACCGGAUAGGUAUAGACAAGGCAUCUUGACUAUAUUAAAGGACCUUCGGGUGUGGACAUGGAUGGACCUGCGGCGUAUUAGCCAGUUGGCGGGGUAACGGCCCACCAAAGCGAUGAUACGUAGCCGGCCUGAGAGGGUAGACGGCCACAUUGGGACUGAGACACGGCCCAAACUCCUACGGAAGGCAGCAG